UGCAUCGUCUGAGCUUGUGGAUUGUUUCCACUUGAAACUAUGCAAAUUGAGCAUUUGGUUCAGUUCCUUGUUAGAUUCUAAUGCCACGCUAGAGUAUUUUUAUCUUUAUAUUCAUUUUAAGGAGCCUUAUUUGAUAACAAGGAACAAAGAAUGUAUGGUAGAGCAGGUCUUGAACGAUUUAAAAAGGCUCAAUCUUCAGACCCAUUCUCAGUCACUGUCAAUUCAGCUCCCAAAACCACUACCCAACAUGCUUCUAAACCAGUUAUCCAUCCCUCAGUUCAGUAUUUGCAGUCUCAGACACAAACCCAAUACGAGUACCAACCCUAUGUUCCUCAAAAGCCAACAGGGCUUGAGGCAGGACCAUUGGUUGGGCAGACUCAGCAGGUGACCCACGUUGGAGGGGGGCAGUCAACUUGGCAGCCACCAGAUUGGGCAAUUGAGCCUCGACCAGGAGUUUAUUAUCUUGAGGUUUUGAAGGAUGGAGAGGUACUUGAUCGGAUUAAUCUGGAUAGAAGGAGGCACAUAUUUGGGAGGCAAUCUCAUACAUGUGAUUAUGUACUUGACCAUCAGUCUGUUUCACGCCAACAUGCUGCUGUCAUUCCUCACAAAAAUGGAAGCGUAUUUGUAAUUGAUUUGGGGUCUGCACAUGGUACAUUUGUGGCAAAUGAACGGUUGACCAAAGAUACCCCUGUUGAGCUUGAAGUGGGCCAAUCUUUGCGGUUUGCUGCCUCAACACGAACUUAUAUCUUGAGAAAGAACGAUGCUGCUCUUUUCCCACGUCCUCCACCACCUUCGGAGAUUAAUCUGCCACCACCUCCUGAUCCAUCUGAUGAAGAAGCCGUUGUUGCUUAUAAUACUCUUUUAAAUCGAUAUGGUCUUGGCGGCCCUGAUCUACUGUCUAGAUCUAGCAAAUCUGGUAGCUCAGCAAGUGGUAGAGAUGACAGCCAGCAGUCUGGCAGAGCCUCAAAGAGAAUCAAAAAAGCAAGAGUAGCUUUCAGAGAUCAAGUUGGGGGAGAAUUAGUUGAAGUUGUUGGGAUUUCAGAUGGUGUAGAUGUAGAAACGGAGCCUGGUCCAAUAGGUGUAAAAGAAGGAAGUCUUGUUGGAAAAUAUGAAUCCCUUAUACAGACUACAGUAAUACCGAAAGGUAAGGAACAAUUGCCAGCAAAGGAAAACAAUGCUUCCCAAACAGGUGUUACGAAUAAAUUGCAAGAAGUCUUGAAUAAAGUCAAGACUGUUCCCAAAAGUGGUGUGCAUGAUGACCUUUAUGGAGAAGCAUUUUCUGGCAAAUUGGGGUCUUCCUGGGCGUAUCCUAUGGUUACUUCUGGCGGCAAACUGGAUCCUUCAACUAAGGAUGACAAACAAAAGGAUAUUGCUGCUUCGAGUGGAAAACUAGAGAACAACUCGAACUUGUACAACGAUGACAAUGAUGAUGAUUUAUUUGGUGACUAAUUAAAUAGUGUUGGAAGGAUGCUGUGUUGUUCUUUCAUAGGUGCUUUGGAGAGCAGCAGCCAGUGGACAUAAGAGACCACUGGUUCCUUUGUAGAUGGGAAAUUUUGUUGUAAUUCGUUGGAAUAUCUUUGUAGUGGAAGACCACCCAAUUUGGGAUUUUUAAUUUACAACUCAGUUACAUUUGGACUGGUUUCGAACUUAUUGUUUUAAGCUGGAAGAAAUGAAAUUGAAUUGACUUGUGGUAAAAAAAAA
rnacentral:misc_RNA from 1 species